GCCGAGAUCGCGUAACCUGGUAUCGCACAAGCCUGGAAAGCUUGACCCGUUAAGGGUAUGAGGGUUCAAAUCCCUCUCUCGGCG
rnacentral:tRNA from 1 species